GCCGGGCGCGGUGGCUCACGCCUGUAAUCCUAGCACUUUGGGAGGCCGAGGCGGGUGGAUCACCUGAGGUCAGGAGUUCAAGACCAACCUGACCAACAUGGUGAAACCCCGUCUCUA
ensembl:misc_RNA Metazoa_SRP Metazoan signal recognition particle RNA